GUGACAGGACCCAAUCAGUACCCAGAAACUGCGGCUGUGUGCCAAACAGCUAUGUCAGACAAGGCUCCCUGUGGGCCCUUUGCCUUGGGUGGUGCUGGUGGAGUGAUUCAGGUGGAGGGAGGCUUCACCGACAUCACCGGAUUCACCACCACCACCACCACCAGCGUUGUCGGUGAUGGUGGUGGUGGUGGUGGUUGUGGGCUUAGCGG